GUCUAUUUGAGCACAUUGAGUUCCCUUGGGACAGUGAUAUAUAAUUUCUGUAUCUUUUUGCAGGUUCCCUAGUCCACAAACCUGAUGGGAGAAGCCUCCAAGUGAUUCUAAUCCAGCACCUCUGUGGAGGGAGCUACCUUUCCUAUUAUGACUUUUGGAGGACAGAGUUUUCCACCAUUCAUCUUUGCAUCCUGAAUACCAGUUUUAAAAACAUUCAAAAAGAAACUUUUUAAAAACUCAUAUAAUGUGGAGUUCCUUGUGGCACCCAAGGUGUUAACGUCUGCUGGAGUUGACUUGGCGCAGAAAACUGCUGACCCCGAGGAGUUGGAACACCCUGAUGACAAGGUGUUCUUCCAGCUCGGGCACAGGAGAGCCUUGCUGGUGAAACAAGGAGAAACAUCCGGGCACAAUUUGAUAAAGGAAACAGUUUGGCAUUGGUGUCCUCAUACCUUUCUAGUCUAAAAUAUGCCCGGUGUUCAGCAGAACACAGGGC
rnacentral:lncRNA from 1 species